GACGAACGCUGGCGGCGUGCUUAACACAUGCAAGUCGAACGGAAAGGCCCUGCUUUUGUGGGGUGCUCGAGUGGCGAACGGGUGAGUAACACGUGAGUAACCUGCCCUUGACUUUGGGAUAACUUCAGGAAACUGGGGCUAAUACCGGAUAGGAGCUCCUGCUGCAUGGUGGGGGUUGGAAAGUUUCGGCGGUUGGGGAUGGACUCGCGGCUUAUCAGCUUGUUGGUGGGGUAGUGGCUUACCAAGGCUUUGACGGGUAGCCGGCCUGAGAGGGUGACCGGCCACAUUGGGACUGAGAUACGGCCCAGACUCCUACGGGAGGCAGCAGUGGGGAAUAUUGCACAAUGGGCGGAAGCCUGAUGCAGCAACGCCGCGUGCGGGAUGACGGCCUUCGGGUUGUAAACCGCUUUCGCCUGUGACGAAGCGUGAGUGACGGUAAUGGGGAAAGAAGCACCGGCGAACUACGG
rnacentral:rRNA from 1 species